GCGCGAAAACUUUACACUGUACGAAAGUGCGAUAAGGGAACUCCCAGUGCUCAGGCAAUGCCUGGGCUUUUGCCAAGUGUAAGUAGCUUGGCGAAUAAGUGGUGGGUAAGACGGGUGCCAGCCGCCGCGGUAACACCUGCGCCACAAGUGGGACUCGCGAUUAUUGGGCCUAAAGCGUUCGUAGCCGGAUGAGGCAGUCUUGGGUGAAAUCGUUGCGCUUAACAAAACGGCGUGCCUAAGAUACUUCUCAUCUAGGGACCGGGAGGAGUUAGGAGUAUUUCUGAGGGAGCGGUAAAAUGCUAUAAUCUCAGAAGGACUACCUGUGGCGAAGGCGCCUAACUAGAACGGGUUCGACGGUGAGGAACGAAAGCUAGGGGAGCAAAAGGG
rnacentral:rRNA from 1 species